rnacentral:rRNA from 1 species
AUUGAACGCUGGCGGCAGGCCUAACACAUGCAAGUCGAACGAGUGGCGGACGGGUGAGUAAUGUCUGGGAAACUGCCUGAUGGAGGGGGAUAACUACUGGAAACGGUAGCUAAUACCGCAUACCAUCAGAUGUGCCCAGAUGGGAUUAGCUAGUUGGUGGGGUAACGGCUCACCAAGGCGACGCUCCCUAGCUGGUCUGAGAGGAUGACCAGCGACCCUGGAACUGAGACACGGUCCAGACUCCUACGGGAGGCAGCAGUGGGGAAUAUUGCACAAUGGGCGCAAGCCUGAUGGCGCCAUGCCGCGUGUGUGAAGAAGGCCUUCGGGUUGUAAAGUACUUUCAGCGGGGAGGCGUUACCCGCCGAAGAAGCCCCGGCUAACUCCGUGCCAGCAGCCGCGGUAAUUC